rnacentral:rRNA from 1 species
GACGAACGCUGGCGGCGUGCUUAACACAUGCAAGUCGAACGGUCCUGUUUUUUGAAGCGCUUCGGCGUGGAGGGAGCGGGUUAGUGGCGCACGGGUGAGUAAUGCGCGAGGACCUGCCCGCGGGAGGGGGACAGCAGUUGGAAACGGCUGGUGAUACCCCGUAAGCCGGGAGGUAAAAGGGCGGAGACGCCCGCCUGCGGAUGGACUCGCGUCCUAUCAGCUAGUUGGUGAGGCAACGGCUCACCAAGGCGACGACGGGUAGCCGGCCUGAGAGGGUGUCCGGCCACACUGGAACUGAGACACGGUCCAGACUCCUACGGGAGGCAGCAGUGGGGAAUUUUGGGCAAUGGGGGAGACCCUGACCCAGCGACGCCGCGUGAGGGACGAAGGCCCUUGGGUCGUAAACCUCUUUUGCAGGGGAAGAAGAAGAUGACGGUACCUUGCGAACAAGUCCCGGCUAACUACGUG